rnacentral:rRNA from 1 species
AGGUGAACCUGCGGAAGGAUCAUUACCUAGAGUUUGUGGACUUCGGUCUGCUACCUCUUACCCAUGUCUUUUGAGUACCUUCGUUUCCUCGGCGGGUCCGCCCGCCGGUUGGACAACAUUCAAACCCUUUGCAGUUGCAAUCAGCGUCUGAAAAAACUUAAUAGUUACAACUUUCAACAACGGAUCUCUUGGUUCUGGCAUCGAUGAAGAACGCAGCGAAAUGCGAUAAGUAGUGUGAAUUGCAGAAUUCAGUGAAUCAUCGAAUCUUUGAACGCACAUUGCGCCCCUUGGUAUUCCAUGGGGCAUGCCUGUUCGAGCGUCAUUUGUACCUUCAAGCUCUGCUUGGUGUUGGGUGUUUUGCCUCGCCUCCGCGCGCAGACUCGCCUUAAAACAAUUGGCAGCCGGCGUAUUGAUUUCGGAGCGCAGUACAUCUCGCGCUUUGCACUCAUAACGACGACGUCCAAAAGUACAUUUUUACACUCUUGACCUCGGAUCAGGUAGGGAUACCCGCUGAACUUAAGCAUAUCA